AAAACUUUCAACAACGGAUCUCUUGGUUCUGGCAUCGAUGAAGAACGCAGCAAAAUGCGAUAAGUAAUGUGAAUUGCAGAAUUCAGUGAAUCAUCGAAUCUUUGAACGCACAUUGCGCCCGCCAGUAUUCUGGCGGGCAUGCCUGUUCGAGCGUCAUUUCAACCCUCAAGCACAGCUUGGUGUUGGGACUCGCGUUAAUUCGCGUUCCUCAAAUUGAUUGGCGGUCACGUCGAGCUUCCAUAGCGUAGUAGUAAAACCCUCGUUACUGGUAAUCGUCGCGGCCACGCCGUUAAACCCCAACUUCUGAAUGUUGACCUCGGAUCAGGUAGGAAUACCCGCUGAACUUAAGCAUAUCAAUAAGCGGAGGAAAAGAAGCCAACAGGGAUUGCCCUAGUAACGGCGAGUGAAGCGGCAACAGCUCAAAUUUGAAAUCUGGCUCUCGGGCCCGAGUUGUAAUUUGUAGAGGAUACUUUUGAUGCGGUGCCUUCCGAGUUCCCUGGAACGGGACGCCAUAGAGGGUGAGAGCCCCGUCUGGUUGGAUGCCAAAUCUCUGUAAAGUUCCUUCAACGAGUCGAGUAGUUUGGGAAUGCUGCUCUAAAUGGGAGGUAUAUGUCUUCUAAAGCUAAAUACCGGCCAGAGACCGAUAGCGCACAAGUAGAGUGAUCGAAAGAUGAAAAGCACUUUGAAAAGAGAGUUAAAAAGUACGUGAAAUUGUUGAAAGGGAAGCGUUUAUGACCAGACUUGGGCUUGGUUAAUCAUCUGGGGUUCUCCCCAGUGCACUUUUCCAGUCCAGGCCAGCAUCAGUUUUCCCCGGGGGAUAAAGGCGGCGGGAAUGUGGCUCUCUUCGGGGAGUGUUAUAGCCCACCGUGUAAUACCCUGGGGGGGACUGAGGUUCGCGCAUCUGCAAGGAUGCUGGCGUAAUGGUCAUCAACGACCCGUCUUGAAACACGGACC
rnacentral:rRNA from 1 species